rnacentral:rRNA from 1 species
AGUGAACGCUGGCGGUAGGCCUAACACAUGCAAGUCGAACGGCAGCACAGGAGAGCCUGCUCUCUGGGUGGCGAGUGGCGGACGGGUGAGGAAUACAUCGGAAUCUACUCUGUCGUGGGGGAUAACGUAGGGAAACUUACGCUAAUACCGCAUACGACCUACGGGUGAAAGCAGGGGACCUUCGGGCCUUGCGCGAUUGAAUGAGCCGAUGUCGGAUUAGCUAGUUGGCGGGGUAAAGGCCCACCAAGGCGACGAUCCGUAGCUGGUCUGAGAGGAGAAUCAGCCACACUGGAACUGAGAAACGGUCCAGACUCCUACGGGAGUCAGCAGUGGGGAAGAUGGGACAAUGGGCGAAAGCCUGAUCCAGCCAUACCGCGUGGGUGAAGAAGGCCUUCGGGUUGUAAAGCCCUUUUGUUGGGAAAGAAAUCCAGCUGGCUAAUACCCGGUUGGGAUGACGGUACCCAAAGAAUAAGCACCGGCUAACUUCGUGCCAGCCGCCGCCGUAA